AAAUAAGAAGCGAAAUAUUGCAACCAGUUUCGACCUGGUCAACUUGAUGUUAAAUCAUCCUUA
rnacentral:tRNA from 2 species